UACGUAGGUGACCAGCGUUGUCCGGAUUUACUGGGCGUAAAGAGCGCGCAGGCGGUCGUUCAAGUCGAGUGUGAAAGCCCCCCGGCUCAACUGGGGAGGGUCAUUCGAUACUGAUCGACUGGAAGGCAGGAGAGGGAAGCGGAAUUCCCGGUGAUAGUGGUGAAAUGCGUAGAUAUCGGGAGGAACACCAGUGGCGAAGGCGGCUUCCUGGCCUGUUCCUUGACGCUGAGGCGCGAAAGCUAGGGGGAGCAAAACGGG
rnacentral:rRNA from 1 species